UAAAAAGGGCACAAUUACAGCCAGCCUCAGCAGGUCCUCCUCCAUUGUGCUCCAAACCUCCUGUAGCAGGAUGCUCGUGGCUCUGUCACCACGUUCAGGGGCACGGGGAGCCCUGUGAUCCACCAGCCAUGGGCUUCAGGAGCAGGGGCUCACGUUCUCUUUGUGCCAGCCCCUACUGGAGAAAAGUCAUUAAUGCAUCCAAAACUUUUUCCCAACAGAAGUGCUGCUUCCCAAAGAAGACAGGAACUCAUUCUCUUUUGUUUUCAUCGCUUUUCACAGUGUACUUCUGUUGAGCUGACUGACAUUUAAAUAAGCCACAGGAGAAUUAUACCUAAGACACUUCUACUAAAUAUUGCCGUUGUAGUAGGAGGGUGCAAACGCAAGGGAGGCAUUUGGAAGAGACUUGUAAACAG